ACACUCGUAAACAGGUGGUGCAUGGUUGUCGUCAGCUCGUGUCGUGAGAUGUUGGGUUAAGUCCCGCAACGAGCGCAACCCUCGUUCUAUGUUGCCAGCACGUAAUGGUGGGAACUCAUGGGAUACUGCCGGGGUCAACUCGGAGGAAGGUGGGGAUGACGUCAAAUCAUCAUGCCCCUUAUGUCUUGGGCUUCACGCAUGCUACAAUGGCCGGUACAAAGGGCUGCAAUACCGCGAGGUGGAGCGAAUCCCAAAAAGCCGGUCCCAGUUCGGAUUGAGGUCUGCAACUCGACCUCAUGAAGUCGGAGUCGCUAGUAAUCGCAGAUCAGCAACGCUGCGGUGAAUACGUUCCCGGGUCUUGUACACACCGCCCGUCAAGUCAUGAAAGUCGGUAACACCUGAAGCCGGUGGCCUAACCCUUGUGGAGGGAGCCGUCGAAGGUGGGAUCGGUAAUUAGGACUAAGUCGUAACAAGGUAGCCGUACCGGAAGGUGCGGCUGGAUCACCUCCUUU
rnacentral:rRNA from 1 species